rnacentral:rRNA from 1 species
UACGUAGGGUGCGAGCGUUGUCCGGAAUUAUUGGGCGUAAAGAGCUCGUAGGCGGUGUGUCACGUCGGCCGUGAAAACCUGCAGCUUAACUGUGGGCGUGCGGUCGAUACGGGCAUCACUGGAGUUCGGCAGGGGAGACUGGAAUUCCUGGUGUAGCGGUGGAAUGCGCAGAUAUCAGGAGGAACACCGAUGGCGAAGGCAGAUCUCUGGGCCGUAACUGACGCUGAGGAGCGAAAGCAUGGGGAGCGAACAGG